rnacentral:rRNA from 1 species
AUUGAACGCUGGCGGCAUGCCUAAUACAUGCAAGUCGAGCGGUUCUCUUCGGAGAGCAGCGGCGGACGGGUGAGGAACACGUGAGUAACCGGGCGUCCGGUGGGGGAGUAUCGGGGCCGAAAGGCGCGGCAAUCCCGCAUACGGCUCGGUCGCGCAAGCGGCCGAGGGAAAGGUCUUCGGAUCGCCGGACGGGGGGCUCGCGGCCCAUUAGCUAGUUGGGGGGGUAACGGCCUCCCAAGGCGACGAUGGGUAGCCGGCCCUGAGAGGGUGAUCGGCCACACUGGGACUGAGACACGGCCCAGACUCCUACGGGAGGCAGCAGUAGGGAAUCUUCCACAAUGGGCGCAAGCCUGAUGGAGCAACGCCGCGUGAGUGAAGACGGCCUUCGGGUUGUAAAGCUCUGUCUGUCGGGACGAGGGCCCGGGUGCAAACCCGGGAGGGACGGUACCGGCGGAGGAAGCCCCUGCAAACUACGUG